rnacentral:tRNA from 1 species
GCCUGGGUGGCUCAGUCGGUUGAGCAUCUGACUUUGGCUCAGGUCAUGAUCUCGAGGUUUGUGAGUUCGAGCCCCGCAUCAGGCU